CUCGGAUCAGGUAGGGAUACCCGCUGAACUUAAGCAUAUCAAUAAGCGGAGGAAAAA
rnacentral:rRNA from 1 species